GCUCAGGGUGUGGCUGUGGUGGAGGAGGGCCGGACACAUCACAGCCCUGGCUCAGGGUGUGGCUGUGGUGGAGGAGGGCCGGACACAUCACAGCCCUGGCUCAGGGUGUGGCUGUGGUGGAGGAGGGCCGGACACAUCACAGCCCUGGCUCAGGGUGUGGCUGUGGUGGAGGAGGGCCGGACACAUCACAGCCCUGGCUCAGGGUGUGGCUGUGGUGGAGGAGGGCCGGACACAUCACAGCCCUGGCUCAGGGUGUGGCUGUGGUGGAGGAGGGCCGGACACAUCACAGCCCUGGCUCAGGGUGUGGCUGUGGUGGAGGAGGGCCGGACACAUCACAGCCCUGGCUCAGGGUGUGGCUGUGGUGGAGGAGGGCCGGACACAUCACUGCCCUGGCUCAGGGUGUGGCGCAGUGUCCACUCAGGGCCAGAAAUAGUCUAACUAGCAGCACCCGUGCAAAUUGCACAGAACUGCAGGGAUUCUGCUCCGUGCGUCAUGAUUGGGUUUGUAGCGAAGCCCGGUACAAUAUUCCCCCUCAGCAGAAACGUCCCUCUUGCCCGAAAUUGGAGAAUAAAUCACCGUUUUCACGUUAAAUAGCGGCUAUAUCGCUUAACAAACUUAAACUGAAUAAACUUCGGCCAAAUCCGCAGCAAUAGGUCAAAAUUUGGUGUUGCUACGAUGGGUUUUAAGUGCCUAAAAAAAAUAAAUAAAUAAAUAAAAAGAAUAAACUUCGGCCAAAUCCGCAGCAAUAGGGCAAAAUUUGGUGUUGCUACAAUGGGUUUAAGUGCCUAAAAAAAUAAAUAAAUAAAUAAAUAAAUAAACUUUGGCCAAAUCCGCAGCAGUAGGGCAAAAUUUGGUGUUGCUACGAUGGGUUUAAGUGCCAAAAAAAAAAAAAAAAAAGAAUAAACUUCGGCCAAAUCCAUGCCCAUAGGCAAAAUUUGGUGUUGCUAUGAAUGGUUUAAGUGCCUCAAA